rnacentral:rRNA from 1 species
AGACGUCUACAUUAGACUACCCGGUAGUCCCAGCCGUAAACUAUGCGCGUUAGGUGUAUCGGUGACCACGAGUCACCGAGGUGCCGAAGGGAACCGUGAAACGUGCCGCCUGGGAAGUACGGUCGCAAGGCUAGAAACUUAAAGGAAUUGGCGGGGGAGCACAACAACGGGUGGAGCCUGCGGUUUAAUUGGACUCAACGCCGGACAACUCACCGGGAACGACAGCAAUAUGUAGGCCAGGCUGAAGACCUUGCCUGAAUCGCUG